rnacentral:rRNA from 1 species
AAAUUGAAGAGUUUGAUCAUGGCUCAGAUUGAACGCUGGCGGCAGGCCUAACACAUGCAAGUCGAGCGGUAGCACAGGNGGCUUGCUCUCGGGUGACGAGCAGCGGACGGGUGAGUAAUGUCUGGGAAACUGCCUGAUGGAGAGGGAUAACUACUGGAAACGGUAGCUAAUACCGCAUAAUGUCGCAAGACCAAAGUGGGGGACCUUCGGGCCUCAUGCCAUCAGAUGUGCCCAGAUUGGAUUAGCUAGUAGGUGGGGUAAUGGCUCACCUAGGCGACGAUCCCUAGCUGGUCUGAGAGGAUGACCAGCCACACUGGAACUGAGACACGGUCCAGACUCCUACGGGAGGCAGCAGUGGGGAAUAUUGCACAAUGGGCGCAAGCCUGAUGCAGCCAUGCCGCGUGUGUGAAGAAGGCCUUCGGGUUGUAAAGCACUUUCAGCGGGGAGGAAGGCGAUAAGGUUAAUAACCUUGUCGAUUGACGUUACCCGCAGAAGAAGCACCGGCUAACUCCGUGCCAGCAGCCGCGGUAAUACGGAGGGUGCAAGCGUUAAUCGGAAUUACUGGGCGUAAAGCGCACGCAGGCGGUCUGUCAAGUCGGAUGUGAAAUCCCCGGGCUUAACCUGGGAACUGCAUUCGAAACUGGCAGGCUAGAGUCUUGUAGAGGGGGGUAGAAUUCCAGGUGUAGCGGUGAAAUGCGUAGAGAUCUGGAGGAAUACCGGUGGCGAAGGCGGCCCCCUGGACAAAGACUGACGCUCAGGUGCGAAAGCGUGGGGAGCAAACAGGAUUAGAUACCCUGGUAGUCCACGCCGUAAACGAUGUCGAUUUGGAGGUUGUGCCCUUGAGGCGUGGCUUCCGGAGCUAACGCGUUAAAUCGACCGCCUGGGGAGUACGGCCGCAAGGUUAAAACUCAAAUGAAUUGACGGGGGCCCGCACAAGCGGUGGAGCAUGUGGUUUAAUUCGAUGCAACGCGAAGAACCUUACCUGGUCUUGACAUCCACAGAACUUUCCAGAGAUGGAUUGGUGCCUUCGGGAACUGUGAGACAGGUGCUGCAUGGCUGUCGUCAGCUCGUGUUGUGAAAUGUUGGGUUAAGUCCCGCAACGACCGCAACCCUUAUCCUUUGUUGCCAGCGGAUAGGCCGGGAACCCAACGGAGACUGCCAGUGAUAAAGUGGAUGAAGGCGGGGAUGACGUCAAGUCAUCAUGGCCCUUACGACCAGGGCUACACACGUGCUACAAUGGCAUAUACAAAGAGAAGCGACCUCGCGAGAGCAAGCGGACCUCAUAAAGUAUGUCGUAGUCCGGAUUGGAGUCUGCAACUCGACUCCAUGAAGUCGGAAUCGCUAGUAAUCGUAGAUCAGAAUGCUACGGUGAAUACGUUCCCGGGCCUUGUACACACCGCCCGUCACACCAUGGGAGUGGGUUGCAAAAGAAGUAGGUAGCUUAACCUUCGGGAGGGCGCUUACCACUUUGUGAUUCAUGACUGGGGUGAAGUCGUAACAAGGUAACCGUAGGGGAACCUGCGGUUGGAUCACCUCCUUACCUUAAAGAA